UAAAGUGUAAAUCAAGGUCUAGGGGUGAUGCGGGCAGAAGGUGGAAGGCAAACAGCCCCCAGUAGUGCAUCCCCCGCCAUCGCACACAGACAGCUCAACCAAACCACCUUCUGGAUCACAACAAGACAAAUUUCCUAGAACUCUGCAGUCCGAAGAAAACAAUGGAGAGAAGAAUAACGUCAGCAGUUUGGUCUCUGCAGCAAUAUUGCACCUUAAAGGCUCGAUGAGCCGACUGUUAGCAGAAACAAAGCAUCCUUAGAGUUUCUAUUGACUUUAACAACCACGAACAUUAAGCUAGCCUAUUGUACAAGAGGAAAAACCCUUAAAUACCACUGUCCCCCACAGCUGAGCGGACACUCCCAGGUGCCCGCACUGAGGAUGCUGCCGUGCGGGGGUUUAAAUGGCCGGGCCGGGUAGGCACGGGUCCUGGGAAAGCGGCUGGAGAAGGGGUCUGGACAUGGGCUUUGCUGUAGCACAUGAAGCGCCUGCACACACAAUUCAAUAGCUAUUGUCUGCACAAGCCAUGUCUGGAACCCUGCAGAUGGGCAAAGCACCUGAAGUGUUUGCAUGGCAGCAACUCUCCAGGUGCAUGUGGCAUCACCAAAUACCUUUCCUGGCUUUGCUCUGCCAGUGACUGGAGUCCUCUAGGCAUGUUAUUUGUAAGUGCUCUGCUCCCCGCACGUCAGCUCGGGACGCGUUUGGACAACAACCCUGGACCAAGCUCUGCAAAGCACAGGCUGUGCCAGGCUGGGGAGCGAUGGCUCUUGGGUCUGGGGAGUUUCAUCCCAUGCUGUUGGAGACAAAUGCUUGUAUCUGCUUUCAGAAAACAAUGAACCUGCAUUGUUGAAAGUGAUAAGUUUUCCUCUGUUUUUAAAGCAUAUUGGUUGGUAGCUCUGGAGCUUCAUUUGUUUUUGGUCUGAAAUCACUUUCUAGAAUGCACCCUGAAUGUUUCUGAGUCCAGUUAAUACGUUCAUUGGGUUUUGUGCCAGCAUUCUGCAGUUCUGUUCAAUUCUGUCCAUUUUCUUUGUGCUUUCUGGAAACAGUGAAAGGUUUUUAAUUUGUUUCUUUCCCCUCUGUUUUCAUUUUCCUCCCUUACAGCCAACAUCAGUUCUACUGCAUUUUAAUUACAGCUGUCCCUCAAAGCUACCACACAAGAUAUUUUACA